GCUGGGUUGAACGUAUAGCGAAGAAAUUUGUAGGGCGCCGAAUGGUGCGUGUCCCACUCAAUGUACAUAAUUCCCAUUGGCUUCUACUAGUCUUUAAUUUCGACAAGGAAGAGGUUCAGGUCCUCAACUCCCACCAAGCAUAUCGUGACGAAGAGUCGGAAAGAGACCCGGUGUUGUCCAUUCAGUCGUGCAUUAACGAAGCCGUGAACACUGGCUGGGUAACAACGUCUAAGCAGAUCAAUAUUGCCAAGUGGAAAACCGUAUGCUAUACUAACAUACCAC